rnacentral:rRNA from 1 species
GACGAACGCUGGCGGCGUGCCUAAUACAUGCAAGUCGAACGCACUCUCGUUUAGAUUGAAGGAGUUUGCUCCUGAUUGAUAAACAUUUGAGUGAGUGGCGGACGGGUGAGUAACACGUGGGUAACCUGCCCUAAAGUGGGGGAUAACAUUUGGAAACAGAUGCUAAUACCGCAUAAAACCUAACACCGCAUGGUGUAGGGUUGAAAGAUGGUUUCGGCUAUCACUUUAGGAUGGACCCGCGGUGCAUUAGUUAGUUGGUGAGGUAAAGGCUCACCAAGACCGUGAUGCAUAGCCGACCUGAGAGGGUAAUCGGCCACACUGGGACUGAGACACGGCCCAGACUCCUACGGGAGGCAGCAGUAGGGAAUCUUCCACAAUGGACGAAAGUCUGAUGGAGCAACGCCGCGUGAGUGAAGAAGGUUUUCGGAUCGUAAAACUCUGUUGUUGGAGAAGAAUGUAUCUGAUAGUAACUGAUCAGGUAGUGACGGUAUCAAACCAGAAAGCCACGGCUAACUACGUG